UAACUACUCCCUCCGUUUCAAAUUACUUGACACAUAUUUAUCUAACCACAGAUAUAUCUAGACACUAAACAAAUAUAGAUACAUCCAUAUUUAGACAAAUUCAAAUCGACUAAUUUGAAACGGAGGGAAUACAUA
rfam:Triticum aestivum genome assembly, contig: Triticum_aestivum_CS42_TGACv1_scaffold_211120_3AS